rnacentral:rRNA from 1 species
AACAUGUACGCAACCUUCCUUUAACUGGAGAAUAGCCCCUCGAAAGAGGGAUUAAUACUCCGUAACAUAUUGAUAAGGCAUCUUAUUAAUAUUAUAGCUCCGGCGGUUAAAGAUGGGCGUGCACCUGAUUAGAUAGUUGGCGGGGUAAUGGCCCACCAAGUCUGCGAUCAGUAACUGGUGUGAGAGCACGACCAGUCACACGGGCACUGAGACACGGGUCCG